rnacentral:tmRNA from 1 species
GGGGGUGACUUGGUUUCGACGGGGCAUGUCGGGACUUGGUUGCGCGCCGAGGAUGUCGGUUGGCCUCGUUAAAAAACCGGCAAACACCUAAAUGCGAACAAUGAUUUCGCCAUGGCUGCCUAAUUGAGUUUAGGCACCCUCGCUUAACCACCGACGCCUGCUGAGUGGGUAUGCGCAAUAGCAGGACUCGCCGCGGAGUCCGACGACCGAACGCCGCGAGCCCGGAAAAACCGGUCGCAUGAUGGCGGUCUUGCCUGCCCGCGGACGCCUCCUCCAUCGAGAUCAAAACACGGGACACGCGCGUAGAUGCCAGGUUGAAACUGUUUCGGACGGGGGUUCGACUCCCCCCACCUCCAU